CGAAGUGCUCCCUCCAGAUGUCGUCCGGGCUGAAGAGCUCGGAGCUGUGCGAGGAUUCCGAGGGGUGGUGCUCGGCUACAGCUGCCGCUCCAUCGCUGAUGCAACUGCUCAUCAUCAGGUACUCCAUCCAAUCGUCUGGCUGUUGCUCUUGCUGCUGCGGCUUUGGGUGAUUCUUCUGAUGAUCUUCCUGGUGUGGUGGCGUCGCAGGGGGCGUGAAUCCAUCCAAGUAGGCCGUGACAUCCUCUUCCACGACGCUGCCACACUGGGUGAGCUGAAUUGGUGUUUGCUCGCAUCCUUGCUGCUGCUGCUGAUUGAUCAUGUUCCAGCAGCUCAUGAGAUUCAUGCUGGGCUGCUGUUGCUGGUGGAGCGGUAGCGAUGGCAGCAGCAGCAGAUCAUCACUCUCCUGGUGGUGCUGGAUGGACUGGUGCUGGAAGAACUGCUGGGCGAUCAUCAUGAGGGAAGCCGAGGAGACGCCAUCUGCGGACGAAGUCGGGCUCAAGAGUGCCGUAGCAGUAUCCAUGGAUUGUUCUACUUCCAGAGGCUGACCGGAUCGAGCCAAGCGAUCGAUCCAACAUGAGAGAUCGCCAACGACGAGCUACUCCUACAGGGUAAGCUCAAGUACACACUCUGUAAGCCUCUCUUUUUCCUUUUCUUCUUUUCUUCUUUCUGGUAUAGCCUACUGGUAGUGUGUCCCAGCGCUCAUAAGCUUGUCCGGAAGAUCCAUAAAUGUGUUGUUUAGAGCUCUCUCUCUCUCUCUCUCUCUCUUUCGCUAAUCUAAACUAUGGAGAUUAUGCAGUGGAGGUACCUUGGAAUGGAUGGAUUGGAUCAAACUUGUGUCGUGAACAAGACUGAUUGCGAGAUUCAUUCAUUUUCCAUGUCGCAAUUCAAAGGAAAGCGACCAGUGAAGUAAAGCAAAGCGAUCACCUCCUAUUUCUUAAAGUCGCGUCUAGUAGCGUAAAGCUCUCGCCCACCUUGAGGGGGGUCCCAUUGCGCUUAGCUUUAGAGGAUUUUACUUGUAAGAAAUUGGCUAUGGUGGCUUAGCUUGUCUUGGCUGGUAUGGUCCGAGUGUAAAAAAUAAAGUUUUUUAGGAGGAAAAAUCA
rnacentral:lncRNA from 1 species